UACGGGGGGAGCAAGCGUUGUUCGGAUUUACUGGCGUAAAGGGCGCGUAGGCGGCCAGCACAAGUCAGUUGUGAAAUCUCCGAGCUUAACUCGGAACGGUCAACUGAUACUGUGCGGCUAGAGUGCAGAAGGGGCAACUGGAAUUCUUGGUGUAGCGGUGAAAUGCGUAGAUAUCAAGAGGAACACCUGCGGCGAAGGCGGGUUGCUGGGCUGACACUGACGCUCAUGCACGAAGCGUGGGGAGCGAAACAAGG
rnacentral:rRNA from 1 species